ACAGAUAAUCGGAGAUAAGAGUAAAUAAAUCAAACAGAUAAAUAACUAAAGGAAAACACAAAUGGAACGCAACGAUGAUCGGAGACCGAAGAGGCAGAGAGGCGCACUGGUUGGGAAUGGGGGUUUUUCUCAAAUAUAUUAAAAAUGAAACGACAGAAUGAUUUUUGUUACAAAAACCUAAUCACUAAGGAUUGCUGAAUUUAAUAUAUAUACUAAGUGGAGAUUUAAUAAAUAUGAUGGUGUGUAUUGGGCUUUUGGGCCCUAGAGAAUAUGGAUAAUAAAUAGAGAUGGAAUCGCAACCCAUUGAAAAUGUGGGUGUGGUCAAUAGAGGUGUCAUCUGCGACGAAGAUCGCAUCUGGACCAUUAAGAUGGGCAGGUUGAAUACAUGUAAGUAUGUAAUGCAUGGAAAUCGGUGAUUUGCUAGGUAAAUCGAAAAUUCUGGGGGAAAUCGCCUAGUAGGCCUUACUAAGGGUGUAGAUGAACCAACCAACCAGGUUUAGGUUGGCUAACUUGGAUCCAGACCCAUGAAGUUAGUCUGGGUCCAAAAGGAAAAUAUUUAGACUUGAACCCAAACCAGAUCCAUAAAAACUCCGGGUAUAGGUCGAGUACGAGUCCAAAUAGGGAUUUUUACCUACAAAAAUAAUAAAACAUAAAAUAAAAAUUAAAUUCAAAAUAUUAUGUAAUAAUCUAAGUAUUUAGAUAUUUAAUUAGUUAUACAUAAUCAAAGAAUCACAGUUGAUAAAAGAAAGAAAAGAAAAACUUAAAACAUAUCUCUUGUGUUGGUUUUAGCUAGGGUUGUGUAAUUGUGUGUUUUAAAAAUAAACUAAGGUUAAAAAAUAUAAUGGGUAUUUUUAUAAUUAAAACCCUAAGGUUGAAAAUAAUAUAGGUUUAAAAAAUAUAAAAAAUAUUUUUAUAAUUAAAAACCUAAGGUUAAAAAUAAUAUUAAUAAUUUAUAUUUUUAAUUCUAAUUUCUAAGUCUGGGUUCAGUCGAAUCUGGAUAAUAUGGACCCAAACCCAGACUGAUUAAUGACCGGGUAAUGCUUAAUGUGCCUAAAAUUAGCCUCAGUCCUAAACCCGAACAACCAGGUCCGGAUUAGACGCAGACCCAUUUACACCACUAGGCCUUACUAGGCGACUUCAUUGAGAAAACUUAGGUCUUUGCGGAAAUCUUUGGUUUCGUUUCCGUGGGAGCUAGCCUAUCGAGGAUCGGACGUAAAACGAACAUAACUCUAAUUUACGUUGAUAGGAAAGAAAAGUGUGCAGCAAUCCUAUGUCACAAAUGUACAUUCCUAAUUUAUGUUGAUGAGAUGUUUGUCGAGAAUUUUCCAUCCGUCAGACUCGAUGUCGAGUCGUUUCCAGAAGAAGUGAGGGAUGUAACCGACAAGACUCCGCUAGCGACGACAUGAGGAAGUUGCUACAGGCAGAGGAAGAGCGAGAGGAGUUAGAGCAGGCUAAUACAUGCGCGGAAGAAUAUAUCGAGGAGGGAGAUGGUGUGAUAAACGCGGAGGUUGUGAUGUCAGAGGGAGGAGCUCACUACAAAAAAACAGGAAAACAACCAUGACCAAGAUCACUGGUUAAAUGACAAAAUCCGUGGGGGAAUUAGCCACGGGAGAGGCCGUGGCUAAGCCCGUGGGCGUUGCCCUGUUUUCUUGUAUUUAAGACUCGGGCUGCUUUAAUAUUUAAGACUCAAGAAAUGAAC
rnacentral:lncRNA from 1 species